rnacentral:rRNA from 1 species
AGGAAAAGAAACCAACAGGGAUUGCCUUAGUAGCGGCGAGUGAAGCGGCAAAAGCUCAAAUUUGAAAUCUGGCUCUUUCAGAGUCCGAGUUGUAAUUUGAAGAAGGUAUCUUUGGGUCUGGCUCUUGUCUAUGUUUCUUGGAACAGAACGUCACAGAGGGUGAGAAUCCCGUGCGAUGAGAUGAUCCAGGCCUAUGUAAAGUUCCUUCGAAGAGUCGAGUUGUUUGGGAAUGCAGCUCUAAGUGGGUGGUAAAUUCCAUCUAAAGCUAAAUAUUGGCGAGAGACCGAUAGCGAACAAGUACAGUGAUGGAAAGAUGAAAAGAACUUUGAAAAGAGAGUGAAAAAGUACGUGAAAUUGUUGAAAGGGAAGGGCUUGAGAUCAGACUUGGUAUUUUGUAUGUUACUUCUUCGGGGGUGGCCUCUACAGUUUAUCGGGCCAGCAUCAGUUUGGGCGGUAGGAGAAUUGCGUUGGAAUGUGGCACGGCUUCGGUUGUGUGUUAUAGCCUUCGUCGAUACUGCCAGCCUAGACUGAGGACUGCGGUUUAUACCUAGGAUGUUGGCAUAAUGAUCUUAAGUCGCCCGCU